rnacentral:rRNA from 1 species
AGUGAACGCUGGCGGUAGGCCUAACACAUGCAAGUCGAACGGCAGCACCGUAAGAGCUUGCUCUUACGGGUGGCGAGUGGCGGACGGGUGAGGAAUACAUCGGAAUCUACUUUUUCGUGGGGGAUAACGUAGGGAAACUUACGCUAAUACCGCAUACGACCUACGGGUGACAGCAGGGGAUCUUCGGACCUUGCGCGAUUGAAUGAGCCGAUGUCGGAUUAGCUAGUUGGCGGGGUAAAGGCCCACCAAGGCGACGAUCCGUAGCUGGUCUGAGAGGAUGAUCAGCCACACGGGAACGGAGACACGGUCCAGACGCCUACGGGAGGCAGCAGUGGGGAAUAGUGGACAAUGGGCGCAAGCCUGAUCCAGCCAUACCGCGUGGGUGAAGAAGGCCUUCGGGUUGUAAAGCCCUUUUGUUGGGAAAGAAAAGCAGCAGGUUAAUACCCCGCUGUUCUGACGGUACCCAAAGAAUAAGCACCGGCUAACUUCGUG